GAACGCAUAUUGCGCUCUUUGGUAUUCCGAAGAGCAUGCUUGUUUGAGUAUCAGUAAACACCUCAAAAGAUUUUCUUUAUUGAAAUGAUUUUGGACUUGAGCAAUCCCAACACCAGUCUUCACGGAUCGGUGGAGGGUUGCUUGAAAUGCAGGUGCAGCUGGACAUUCUCCUGAGCUAAAAGCAUAUCUAUUUAGUCCCGUCAAACGGAUUAUUACUUUUGCUGCAGCUAACAUAAAGGGAGUUUGACCAUUUUGGCUGACUGAUGCAGGAUUUCACAAGGGUCGGUAAAACGAUUUUUGUAAAACUCGAUCUCAAAUCAAGUAAGACUACCCGCUGAACUUAAG
rnacentral:misc_RNA from 1 species